rnacentral:lncRNA from 1 species
GAAAGAAAGAGAAGUUUUUGUCUUGGUAGCUUAGAAAUUUGGUUUGCUAGCUCUGAUGAAAUAGAAAUGGUUCUUGUUAGAGUUCUUAAGAUCAGAUCUCACACUUAGAAAAAUAGUUUGUCGACAAUGGCUGGAGAAGUUUCUCUCUCAUCUUGGAGUAGCUGCAGAAUCAGUGUUUUCUCUACAUCUUCAAUUGAUAAUAUGUUAGUGUUAAAGAGAGAGAAGAGUUCCAAGUCUACUUCAACACAACAAGAACAUUGAAAGGUGAAAUCAAGAUUUUGACUUGUAUCCAUCCAUCCAUCCAUCAAUACAUAAAACAAAAGAUUAGAUUUGCCAGCCAUUAAAUGAUCCUCUAACUGAGCCAACAUGAAUUUUUAUUUGUGGUUUGUAUCUGAAUAGACAUAUCAUUUCACUGAUAAGUUGCCCAAAAUUAUCAGCAACGGUUGGUGGAUGAUUUAUGUGCGUUGCAGAAUGCCCAAAACAUGCCGUCUUACUGAGGGAACGGAGAAAGGGACAGUGUUUGUCCACAGUUCAUGUCCUUGUCUCAGAUAAAACCUUGCAUUUUUCGAAGCCGAUAGGAGACAUCUUAUCAGAAAGCUUACGUAUGGUUCAGAGACAUCGCCACGGAUGAUGAUAUCCAAAACCUGUCUUCAUCGCUUGGCCUGCAAGACCUCACUGUCCCCAAAGACACCUCAGAAGAGGAGCAUUUAACCUCUCCAUGAAUGUGCUUCCAUUAACGAUGAUCAACGUUGGCAAUCAUCCCUCCCUGUUUUCUCAAGUCAACUCCACAGCCUUCGUCUCUUGCUUCACAAUGCUACACCACAAAACUUAGAUGUGAUCCUUUGUGACUUGCAAGUAUUGGAUUUGUUGAUAGAAAACAAAUAAAAGAUUAAAAUAUUUAUAUUGGUGAAUAAUCAAAUAUAAUAAUGAGAUAAAUAUAAAUAUAUUUACAUGCUGUAGUUAGACGAAACCAAACUACAAAUAAACUGAAAAGAAACAUAUCUUCGUUUUUAAGUAUGGAGAGAUUGUUGACUAAAUUUAUAAACUAAGAAUAUUAUUAUGUAAAGAACUCAAUUAAAAAAAAAUACUGAGAUCAUCCGUUUGAUAGAAAGAAUAGAAGAUAAAGAACAAUUAUUGAAGAAGCUUUGUUGAAGUAGCUUUAGCUUAAUACAUUAAGGAUUUUCCUCAACGGAAUAAAAGAUUUUCAUAGUUGAGGAAGAGAUGCCACAGCGGAAGGGAACAGACGUUGGCGCAGAGUGGCAUUGGAGAAGAUAGUUGUCGUUCGUCGAGGAGAGAAGAGAAGCUUUAUUGAAGUAGGUUUAGCUUGAAUACAUUAACAUGUCCCUCUCCUAUUUAUACAGAUUAGGAGGGAAGAUUUUUCUUAGAGGAUUUCCCUCAAAGAGAUUUUCUCGUAUUAGUCGAGGAAAUCUUAUCUGCUAUCACCGUUAAUUAAUUUAAAUUUGAAGUGUUAGUGAGUCCAACAAACAUAUGAAACACUGCCGUUCCAUUAAAUCCAAACACACAUUGUGCAUGGCCUUGUGCUCCCUCUGUCAAGUGAUUACUGCACUGAUAGCACAGAGAAGAAGAAGAGAGCCUAUCAGCGCGUGACAGAAGCCAGCUUUGGGACUCGAAAGAGAGAGCUUUAAGGAUCAUGCAUGCCUCGAUGUCGGGACGAUGAUCCGCAACAGUCUGGUUCAACCUCUACAAUCACCACACCAAGAAGAAGAUCCUGUUCUAGUUUGUUUGUUAGACCAUCAAACUGGAUCGUUGACAAAGCCUUGGGAACACACCUACUUGAGUUAGCUCCUUUGAAAUGAGUCGAUUUGUUCCAAGCCUUUGGCGAUGACUGCUUGCAUCUUGCCACCUUAGGCUCACCCCCGCUAGGUUUGGUCUAACUUAUCCUCGUCGAGCUCACACCCAUUGCUUCUCCACCACCUUAGUUUUAGCCUAUUUUUAGUAGACAAUCUUCUACCCUAUGCCACACUCACUCAUAAGAGAAACAGGAUGUUUUCAUAAGCUAUAGUUUGAAAAAAAUUAUAGAACUCUAUCUUUAACCAAACCUCGUAAGACGUAUUCAAGGUGGACAUCAUUAUUAUCAUCAUGGAUAAUAUGUCACUGGUGAUCUAUUAAAAAUUUGGUAUACCUUAACAUAUUCCAUAUAUCAUGAAAGAUUAUUAUUUUGAUACUUUCAUUAUAAUAGUUUGAUUUCACAAGAAAAGAUUACUUCACUCCAGCUAGUCUUCUUCUUCACAGCAUCACAACCUAAUUCUUGAUCCACAUUAAUUUUGACUGUGACUGUGAAUGUUGAGGACUUUAUUAUUAGAUCACCUCGGAAACAAACUUAACAAGUCAGAAAAAGGAGGGGUUGUUGAUCCCUUUAUUGCUAAGUAGCUAACGUCAACAUCAGCAGCAGUGUUCGUAUAAUAUACAUGAAGCCUUUUGGUCCAUGUCAGAAUCACAAGGGCUGAGAACGAAAACAAGAAGACAAAGUAGAGUGCAGUCACCAGCAAGACCAGCCAGGGUGCAUGCAAGUCCCCACCACUGUGCUUGCAGAGCAGGUGCAGACAAACCCAGUCCCAAUACUGCGGAACUGGGAAAAAAAAAGAAAGAAAGAAAGAGAGAGAGAGAGAGAGAGAGAGAGAGAGAGAGAGAAUGAGCAUGGCAUGCAUGGACAAGAGAAAUCAGAGUGGGACAUGGAGCAUCGAGCUUGGUGCUCAGUCAUCGCCAUGGAUGUACCAGCAAAGGAGCAGGGUGGCGCAGCGGCGCAAGAUGUAAAUCCUCGCCCGCUGUUCCUUCACCAGCGCCGCGCACCUUCCGGCGAGUCCCCUCCUCACCUUCUUCCUCUCGGCCAUGAUCGAUACUGUUGAUCCACUCCGUGUAUGGUGAAGCUUAGGCCAUGGCGCAAGGCACACAAGAGUGCAUGAGACGCUGAGAGCUCAUGCUGUGCAAGUUCCCCAUGGGUAUUUAUACACACAAGCAAGCAUGCAGGAGGAGCGAGGAGGCAGGAUGGCUGAACAUGGUCAGCAUGGUAACAUGGAGAGCUGUGUGCUGCAUGAAAAUGUGGAGCCAUGGCCAUUUUUAUCAGCACCAGGAACAUGGUGAUGUCUUUUUUGAUAUCAAAAUGAGUGCAGAGGGGCUUAUCCUAGCUAUUAAAGUGGGAGAAAGGUAGCUUAAAAGGUGGAAGGAUGCCAAG